GAUGAAGAACGAAGCGAAAUGCGAUAAGUAGUGUGAAUUGCAGAAUUCAGUGAAUCAUCGAAUCUUUGAACGCACAUUGCGCCUCCUGGUAUUCCGGGAGGCAUGCCUGUUCGAGCGUCAUUAAAAUCACUCAAGCUUAGGUUUACCUAUUGCUUGGUCUUGGAGAUGGAAGCCAAUUUAUUGGAAUCCUCUUCGAAAUUCAAUGGCGAAGACCCUUGCUCUCCCAAGUGUAGUAAUAACUUAUGUCACUGAAGGAAGCGAGAAAUCUUCUGCCGUAACCCCCAUAUUUUCUAUGAUUGACCUCGGAUCAGGUAGGGAUACCCGCUGAACUUAAGCAUAUCAAUAAGCGGAGGA
rnacentral:misc_RNA from 1 species